GCCCUGAUAGUGUAGUCCGGUCUAAUCUCUGAAACGAGAAAAUGGUUGGAGAGACCAAUCAUGCAACCCUGUCACGGUUGCGACCCGGGUUCAAAUCCCGGUCAGGGCG
rnacentral:tRNA from 1 species